GUCUACAGCCACGCCACCCUGAACAUGCCUGAUCUCGUCUAUCUCGGAAGAUAAGCAGGAAGAUAAGCAGGAAGAUAAGCAGGGUCAGGCCUGGCUGGUAGCUGGAUGGGAGACCACCUAGGAAGACCAGAUGCUGUGGGCA
rnacentral:rRNA from 1 species